rnacentral:rRNA from 1 species
UACAGAGGGUGCGAGCGUUAAUCGGAAUUACUGGGCGUAAAGCGCACGUAGGCGGCUUGGUAUGUCGGGUGUGAAAUCCCCGGGCUCAACCCCGGGCCUGCAUCCGAUACUCCCGGGCUGGAGGCAGGUAGGGGAGAUCGGAAUUCCUGGUGUAGCGGUGAAAUGCGCAGAUAUCAGGAGGAACACCGGUGGCGAAGGCGGAUCUCUGGGCCUGUCCUGACGCUGAGGCGCGAAAGCUAGGGGAGCGAACAGG